GCAGUAUUGCUCAGUGGAUAGAGCAUCAGCCUGUGAACUGAAGGGCCCAGGUUUGAUUCCUGGUUGCA
rnacentral:tRNA from 1 species